rnacentral:lncRNA from 1 species
AGGGAGAGGAAGAGAGGGCAUCGGGAGAGCCUUUGGAUGUGAGGGGCUACUGAUUUUGAUGCUAUAGGGAUCUUAGGGGAGGUCCCUUUAAAUAGGUAUAAGCAUUGAAUCCUAUUCAAUCUCAUAAUACAAGUCCUACUUGCAUUAGGAUUCCUAUUAACUUAAGUUAUUCAACUUACAUUAGGAAGCCCGUUAGAUGCCAACAAUUGGA